rnacentral:rRNA from 1 species
CAAUAGCGUAUAUUAAAGUUGUUGCAGUUAAAAAGCUCGUAGUUGGAUUUCUGGUGGGGGUCGCUGGUCCGCUGCGAAAGCGGCGUGUACCGAUGCGUACCUACCGCCAUCCUCGGGGGAACUGCGUGUGGGAUUAGUUUCUCGUGCGUAUGGACGCCCGUCAUUUACUGUGAAAAAAUUAGAGUGUUCAAAGCAGGCUUAGGCCGUUGAAUACAUUAGCAUGGAAUAAUAAGAUAGGACCUUGGCGGUCUAUUUUGUUGGUUUGCACGCCAAGGUAAUGAUUAAUAGGGAUAGUUGGGGGUAUUCGUAUUCAAUUGUCAGAGGUGAAAUUCUUAGAUUUAUGGAAGACGAACUACUGCGAAAGCAUUUACCAAGGAUGUUUUCAUUAA